rnacentral:rRNA from 1 species
UACGUAGGGCGCGAGCGUUGUCCGGAUUUAUUGGGCGUAAAGAGCUCGUAGGCGGCUUGUUGCGUCGUCUGUGAAAACCUGUGGCUCAACUACAGGCUUGCGGUCGAUACGGGCGGGCUGGAGUUCGGUAGGGGAGACUGGAAUUCCUGGUGUAGCGGUGAAAUGCGCAGAUAUCAGGAGGAACACCGGUGGCGAAGGCGGGUCUCUGGGCCGAUACUGACGCUGAGGAGCGAAAGCGUGGGGAGCGAACAGG